GUGCUUGCAUCAUGAUUUACAUUUGAGUGAGUGGCGAACUGGUGAGUAACACGUGGGAAACCUGCCCAGAAGCGGGGGAUAACACCUGGAAACAGAUGCUAAUACCGCAUAACAACUUGGACCGCAUGGUCCGAGUUUGAAAGAUGGCUUCGGCUAUCACUUUUGGAUGGUCCCGCGGCGUAUUAGCUAGAUGGUGGGGUAACGGCUCACCAUGGCAAUGAUACGUAGCCGACCUGAGAGGGUAAUCGGCCACAUUGGGACUGAGACACGGCCCAAACUCCUACGGGAGGCAGCAGUAGGGAAUCUUCCACAAUGGACGAAAGUCUGAUGGAGCAACGCCGCGUGAGUGAAGAAGGGUUUCGGCUCGUAAAACUCUGUUGUUAAAGAAGAACAUAUCUGAGAGUAACUGUUCAGGUAUUGACGGUAUUUAACCAGAAAGCCACGGCUAACUACGUGCCAGCAGCCGCGGUAAUACGUAGGUGGCAAGCGUUGUCCGGAUUUAUUGGGCGUAAAGCGAGCGCAGGCGGUUUUUUAAGUCUGAUGUGAAAGCCUUCGGCUCAACCGAAGAAGUGCAUCGGAAACUGGGAAACUUGAGUGCAGAAGAGGACAGUGGAACUCCAUGUGUAGCGGUGAAAUGCGUAGAUAUAUGGAAGAACACCAGUGGCGAAGGCGGCUGUCUGGUCUGUAACUGACGCUGAGGCUCG
rnacentral:rRNA from 2 species